rfam:Echinostoma caproni strain Egypt genome assembly, scaffold: ECPE_scaffold0000272
GACCUCGUGGCUCAGCUGGUAGAGCGUGCGCUUACAAAGCGUAGGCAUUGUCCAUGCGUGGGUUCGAAUCCCACCGAGGCUA